rnacentral:lncRNA from 1 species
GCAGACUUAAAAGGAAUCAGAUUUAAAACAAAUGAGAAUUUUAGGAAGAAUCAGUUGAAGUCACACCCAGGACCUAGUAAACAGGACGGUUCUGGUUCAUACCAUUUCCUCUGCUGGACUCUGAGAUGUUUAAGGACUGUUCGCUUGGUAAAAGCCAAGGCCUGCCAAGCCUGGUAGGUGGUGUGAGGAGGGCUCAGGAGUGAGGAAUCCAGGGCCUGGCUUCUCUUUGGUUUGUCUCUGCCUGUGUUACCCUCCCAGGACUGAUUUGGACUCCCGUACCAAACCACCUCAAACUGAGAGACUGAACAAACAGAUAUAUCCCAUCUCAUGUGCUAGAGGCCAGGACUCCAAAGUCAAGGUAUCGUCAGUGCCACGCUCCCCCUGAAGACUCCAGGGGAGGAUCCCUACUAUAUUUUCCAGCUUCCGAUGGUUCCACAUGUUCCUCAGCAUUCUUUGACCAAUACUGCUGCCAUCUCUGCUCCCAUGUUCACACAGCUUCUUCCCUGAGUUUCCAUGCCUCUGUCCUUCUUAUAAGGUCAUCUGUCAUUGGAUUAGGGCCCACCAUUAUCCAGUGGGACCUUAUCUGAAUGACUUAUAUCUGCAAGGACCAUAUUUCCAAAUAAGGCCAUGUUCUGAGGUCCAAGGAAGACAAGAAUUGGGGGAGAGUUGCUUUUCAGCCCACUGCACAGCCUGAUUAAGGAACCUGCAAGCUGCUCCUGCACUAGUGGCCCCAUUUGCUCAUUCACGUCCCAUCUGCCUUGGCUACAUGGCUGUGAAAUUGGGAAGAUGUUUCCAAAUCAUUUUGGAUUCCUCACAAAAUGUUUUCAAAAUAUGACUUGUAUUAACAGACCCAGUUGUUUGUUGGGCCUGUGGAUUAGGAAUAAAAUCCCUAGGGGUGGGCCAACGCAUGGGUGUUUUCAG